rnacentral:rRNA from 1 species
CCAAACGGGSUUUCGGCUCCGGCGCAAAGAGAGGCCCAAGUGAGAUUAGCUAGUUGGUAAGGUAACGGCUUACCAAGGCGACGAUCUCUAGCUGUUCUGAGAGGAAGAUCAGCCACACUGGGACUGAGACACGGCCCAGACUCUACGGGAGGCAGCAGUGGGGAAUAUUGCACAAUGGGGGAAACCCUGAUGCAGCCAUGCCGCGUGUGUGAAGAAGGCUUCGGGUUGUAAAGCACUUUCAGUUGUGAGGAAAAGUUAGUAGUUAAUACCUGCUAGCCGUGACGUUAACAACAGAAGAAGCACCGGCUAACUCCGUGCCAGCAGCCGCGGUAAUACGGAGGGUGCGAGCGUUAAUCGGAAUUACUGGGCGUAAAGCGCACGCAGGCGGUUUGUUAAGCUAGAUGUGAAAGCCCCGGGCUCAACCUGGGAUGGUCAUUUAGAACUGGCAGACUAGAGUCUUGGAGAGGGGAGUGGAAUUCCAGGUGUAGCGGUGAAAUGCGUAGAUAUCUGGAGGAACAUCAGUGGCGAAGGCGACUCCCUGGCCAAAGACUGAC